rnacentral:rRNA from 1 species
UAAAACGUAGGAGGCGAGCGUUAUCCGGAUUUACUGGGUGUAAAGCGCGUGCAGGCGGUUCUGCAAGUGGGACGUGAAAGCGCCCGGCUCAACCGGGCGAGGACGUACCGAACUGCGGGACUAGAGGCAGGUAGAGGCGUGUGGAAUUCCGGGUGUAGUGGUGAAAUGCGUAGAGAUCCGGAGGAACACCAGUGGCGAAGGCGACACGCUGGGCCUGGCCUGACGCUCAGACGCGAAAGCAUGGGGAGCGAACGGG